CCAAGUUAUUUCCUUCCCUCCCAAAACUUCCCAAAUGAAUUUCCCUCCCACUCCAAACAAUCAAACCCUUGUCUUCUCCUCUCUCUUUUGGGUCGUAGUUUCUCUUCUCCUCUACACUGUAUCUCCUCUCUCUUGGUAGCGUGCGACAACGAGCAACGACGAACCCAAGAGCAUUCGUUUGUGCGGUGAACUUCAACGGGCGUUUUACUGAGCGAUUGUUUGAGCGGUGAUUCUUCUGUGCUUCGUCCUUCACAUUUUUCCUUUGGCAAACGCUGAACAUUUUCUGAUGUUUGGAAUGAUUCAAAUGCUAAUUGCAUAUCAUGGAACGUGUAUCAUCCAUUGUCAUCUCGAGAACAAACUUCCUUUUUAUUCUUCAUUUGGUUGUGCAAGAGAAGUUCUAAGGUUCACCAAUGUUCAAAGACUUCAAGAGAAGGUUACGUAGCGACUUGAAGAAGAUUAUGGAAAGUCGAAUCCUUGCUUCUGAAACUAGACUAGGAGGGAAAGCAAAGGUGAUAAUUGUUAUAUGGCCAUUAUUUUGAUCUGAUUGUGAGAUUAUAUGUUUUUUUUAACUUAACCCAAAUCAGAAAUUACUGAAAAGUGAUUCCCAUGUAGUUGUAUUUUUUUUUUCCUGAUUUUGUUACAUCCAAUCUGGAAUUUGUUAUAGUUUACAAGAAUGGUUCAAUGGAGAGUUUGUUAGUUUAGCCCAAUUGGUUACUAUGGUAUGGUUUGUUAAAUUUUAAACCAUUUUUUGUGGACAAGUGUCCUACAUAAUCUUGGUAGAGUAAAUUGUCUUAUUCUAAAUUUACGCCUUACUCAUGCCCAAACAAAGCCCGAUCUGUGAUACCCACACCUUUUUGUCAUCAAAUCUACAAGUCUCAACACUUUCGCCAUCGUUUCAGCAAGGUUUAGUGGGUAAUGACCCUUUGAACACCAUUUUAGAUUCAACUUUAGUAGCCAAAACUGAGUUGUAACAUGUUGAUUUUACCUUGUUGCCUAGGUUUCAAUCCGACUCAAGAAGUUAGGAGCGUUUAGUAUGAAUGACAUGUUUUAAUCUAUGUUUUUUAUCUCUUAAUGCGCGUUGGAUAUUGUUGCUAGAUGUUUCUUUAUGAAUGUUGGAUGUUCUGGAUGGAUAUGAUUGAUUCUAGUUGUUUAUAAUUGUUUGAUUAUGCUCUGUUAUGACUACAGUCACUGUAAAGCAUUAUAUUUUUCUCGUCAAGUAUAUAUGCAUUACAGUUUGAAUGAAAAUAAAUAGUUAUUGUUUUGUCUAAAUGUUUUCUUUUUGGCAAUACAAAUUAGCAAAAUGAUGAUAUUCAGGUGACUCAAUCAAAGAUGAUCAAUGAAGCACAGUGGCAAUGACUAAACAAAUGGCUAUUUAUAACUAACUUCUUUAAUGUUAAGAACUUUUCUGUUAUGCUUGCUAAUUGUUGGAACUAUUUGCUUGUUUAUGGUUGUGAUAUUUGAUGAUUUGAUCUCCAAAUAGCUAACGAUUUGAACUAAUUUUUUGUGUAUAAGUGUAAAUGUUGGGCUUUAGCUAGAUUUUUCUCGAGACCUUGUUUGUUAAAAAUCUCGAAUCAAAACUUAUAUUUAUGUGUAAUAUUUUUCAUUAAACUUAAUUAUAAUUGAGUUUUUGUAGUUGUGGAGUUUGCAUUAUAUCGAGUUCCAGUUCUUCCAUCUGGAGUCUUUUCCUUUGACCUUGGUUUUUCGUAUUUUGCAUAAUGGUCACCAGUGGAAAGUCCUAAGUUCCAAAGAAGGUUAAGUGACUAGGUCUUUUCUUGUUGUUAUUUUUGCUUUCUUGACUUCAGGAAUUUCUCUUCUGCUUAGGUAGAAAUUGGUAUCAUUACAAAAUAACAACUUCUUAUUAAUUAGUAUGACCAAAGUUCGUUAAUCUAUAUAUUUUUUCAUGCUUAUAUUUGACUGCUUCCAUGUUGAGUUCCUCUUGUGGAAUUCAAAUUUUACCAUUUUAACUCUAUGGUAAAUAGUGUGUCUAUUAUAAUAUUGAAUAAUUAUAUGUUGAGUUUCUAUUGUGGUUUUCGACUGAACUGAAAUGUUCUUCCGUAAUGGUUAAAUUACAAUCCGAGAAGUUAAUUUCUUAUUUUAGUUCUUUUCUUGAUCCUCAACAAGAGCUUAUGAUCUUACAGCUCUCAAGUAUCAGGGACCCUGCAAUCAUUUAAACUUCUCGAUAUGAUAUGAUUAUGGUGUUAUCGACCUAUUUUUCGAUCUUCAAAUUCAUUAUGAUAAUGUUCU